AUAUGUUCAAAACCUUCUUCCAAGAUCCCAUGUGACCAGCGUUUUUGCUUUCUUUUUAAGCUUUGAUGUGGAAAAUGGCCCUUCCCCAGGUCGGAGCCCACUGGAUCCCCAGGCCAGCUCUUCCUCUGGGCUGGUGCUUCACGCUACCUUUCCCGGGCACAGCCAGCGCAGAGAGUCCUUUCUCUACAGAUCAGACAGCGACUAUGACUUAUCACCAAAGGCAAUGUCAAGAAACUCUUCACUUCCAAGCGAGCAACACGGCGAUGACUUGAUUGUAACACCUUUUGCCCAGGUAUGUAUUGUGCUGACCCUGGUGUGCUCUCAUUGUCUCUGUUGUAGUUUUUAAAGCAUGGCCUCUAAACCUGACCAUUUCUCUGCUUUCAUUCCUAACCAUUUAAAACAUUUCCUUAUAGGUCCUUGCCAGCUUGAGAAGUGUGAGAAACAACUUCACUAUACUAACAAACCUUCAUGGAACAUCCAACAAGAGGUCCCCAGCUGCUGGUCAGCCUCCUGUCUCCAGAGCCAACCUGCCAGGUAGGCCACAUCUUGCCGUCUGUCUCUAUGUCGCAAAAUGAUAAAUGUGCCUCUUACUCUGAACUCUUUUUGAAUCAUAGCAUUCCCCUAUAUAUCUUGACCCUCAAAAGCAUAUCUUCUGGUGACGCUUUUCAAAGACAUAUAGAAGGCUUAUUUCAUUCCAUGUGAAACUAAAUUAAAAGCAG
rnacentral:lncRNA from 1 species